CAAUAGCGUAUAUUAAAGUUGUUGCAGUUAAAAAGCUCGUAGUUGGAUUUCUGGUGGGAGCGAUCGGUCUGGCGCUUAGCGCGAGUACUUGCAUCGUCUCCGGCCAUCCUUGGGGAGAGUCUGUCUGGCAUUAGGUUGUCGGGCAGAGGAUCUUCAUCGUUUACUGUGAAAAAAUUAGAGUGUUCAAAGCAGGCUUAUGCCGUUGAAUAUAUUAGCAUGGAAUAAUAAGAUAGGACUUUGGUACUAUUUUGUUGGUUUGCGCACCAAAGUAAUGAUUAAUAGGGACAGUUGGGGGUAUUCGUAUUCCGUUGUCAGAGGUGAAAUUCUUGGAUUUACGGAAGACGAACUACUGCGAAAGCAUUUACCAAGGAUGUUUUCAUUGA
rnacentral:rRNA from 1 species